UGAUCCCGCCGGACCUGACUGCUAUCGGAUUGAUACUAAGCCAUGCGGGUCAUUGUAGCAAUGCAAGGCAGACGGCUCAGUAACGCGUAGUCAACCUACCCUAUGGACGGGAAUAAUCUCGGGAAACUGAGGAUAAUUCCAGAUAGAACACUAUGCCUGGAACGGUUUGUGUUCCAAAUGAUUUAUCGCCAUAGGAUGGGACUGCGGCCUAUCAGUUUGUUGGUGAGGUAAUGGCCCACCAAGACUAUUACAGGUACGGGCUCUGAGAGGAGUAGCCCGGAGAUGGGUACUGAGACACGGACCCAGGCCCUAUGGGGCGCAGCAGGCGAGAAAACUUUGCAAUGUGCGAAAGCACGACAAGGUUAAUCCGAGUGGUUCCUGCUAAAGGAACCUUUUGACGGUCCUAAAAACACCGUUGAAUAAGGGGUGGGCAAGUUCUGGUGUCAGCCGCCGCGGUAAAACCAGCACCUCAAGUGGUCAGGAUGAUUAUUGGGCCUAAAGCAUCCGUAGCCGGCUCUGUUAGUUUUCGGUUAAAUCUGUACGCUCAACGUACAGGCUGCCGGGAAUACUACAGAGCUAGGGAGUGGGAGAGGUAGACGGUACUUGGAAGGAAGGGGUAAAAUCCUUUGAUCUAUUGAUGACCACCUGUGGCGAAGGCGGUCUACUAGAACACGUCCGACGGUGAGGGAUGAAAGCUGGGGGAGCAAACCGGAUUAGAUACCCGGGUAGUCCCAGCUGUAAACCAUGCAAACUCAAUGAUGCACUGGCUUGAAGCCAAUGCAGUGUUGCAGGGAAGCCGUUAAGUUUGCCGCCUGGGAAGUACGUACGCAAGUAUGAAACUUAAAGGAAUUGGCGGGGGAGCACCACAAGGGGUGAAGCCUGCGGUUCGCGGU
rnacentral:rRNA from 1 species